CGGCCCCCGGCUCCCCCGCCCUCCCGCUCCCCGAGCUGCACCAAACAGCUCUCAGGUUUCUGCUGAUGCUGCAGCGUCAAGAAAUGGCUGGAGUUUGCUCCUCGCUCUUAUGCGUUCAGCAGCCCUGUCCAGCUCCUGCCUCCUCCUGCCUCCGCCGCUGCUGCUGCCGGGACGAGCCAAGCCCGACUCCGGGGAUGCGGCUGCAGGGCUGCGGCGCUCUGACAUCUCCGCCGCCGCCGCUAACCAGCGCCCGGCUCCUUUUCCAGCUGUCCUAAGGGAGGAGAGCUGGACAGCCAGCAGCUAUCUAAGACUCCUUGAUUUUACUGACUAACUCAAGCCUUUUGGAAAAGUGUCUCGCAGGCAGCCCUGUAAAGCGAUCGCUGCGUUAUAAAGAGGGGCGCAAGAGGAGGAGGGUUAAGUUUGCCACUGCGGUUUUUGUUUUGUUUUGGUUUUGUUUUUUUUUUUGGAUGCUGCUGCAAGGCGACUUGACGCAUUCCGGCACUGGCUCCUACUCCUAAGCGGCGCGUCUCACCCGGAGCAGCUUCGUGGCAGCAGCUGCGGCGAUGGUCGAGCCAGCGAGAAAAGUGGACGGAUCGAGUUAAAGGCUAAAGGAGACGGCUGGGGAGGGGAACCCCAGCCUGGGGGUGCACUCCAUAGACCUUCAGCCUCCCGGUGUGGGGGACAGGACCCCUCACCUUACCUGCCCUCUGCCCCCCCUAAAGGCUCCACUUCCACCCCUUCCUCAAGCUCCCCAUCCCACCUUGACCCCCUCACCCUUGCAUCGCCCUGGGUCUCCCUGUGCUCCUCCAUCCUCCUCCUCCUCCUCCUCCUCCUCCUCCUCCCUUUCCCUCACUUCUCCCCUGCCCCUUGGU
rnacentral:lncRNA from 1 species